ensembl:snoRNA small nucleolar RNA SNORD59
UCUUCUGUGAUGAAUGACACAGUGACUUUCGUUCUUCUGAGUUUACUGAAGCCAACCUCUGUUCUUAGAAGA